AUUCCAGUGAAUAAUAUGGAUCUUUGAUUUUGGAGGCAGUGUGUUUAGUGACAUGUUGUAUCCAGGAACUUUAGAUCUGCAUUACCUGUAAGGAUGUGAGAUUUCAGAGUGGCUUUGAGCACCUGCUUAGCCUUGAAGGACUGAGCCUCCCAUCAGAGGUCUUACAAACUGGGGGAAAGAUGAUUUCACUAUGCAUUUCAAUGGUGAUAUUUCAGUGUAUGCUCUGUUAACUUGAUCCUUUUAUUACAUAAUACUGAGUGUUAUUUCAUAGCCUAGGAACUUCAGUAAUACUGUGUAUUAUCCUUGAAGUCCCAGGGGAACAUAUUUGCCCCACUGAAAAUCAUCAGCUAGCAGCUUAUCUCUGUUGCAAUCGAGGAAAUGCUGGGCUUACUUUAGAUGAGCAGUUUGGAUAACAAUAUACAGACUGCCCUGUGGAACAGUCCUAAGGAAACUGGCUGACGUAAGAGAAUGAAGACAUCUGAGAGCACUGUUUAAGAAAACUCGAGCUAAAGUAGGUGGAACAGUUGGUCACAGUGUCUUAGAGCAAAUGGAGCAGCAAAGUACAGAAGGGAAGGAGAGAGCCUCACUUCUUGCCUCUGCAUUAAAGCCACUGUGAAGAGAAGGAUGGAGAAGAAUGUGAGCAGCAGUAAAAACCAAGGUAAAAGGAACCAUACUACUUUCAGAUAAAUUUCAAGAGCUUCAGAGCUUCCCACUCUUCAAAGGCUUUCUGCAAUAAAAGCUUCCAGCAGAAGAGCAUAUGUGAAAUAACAAAGCUCAGUAAAAACCAACUAAAUGAAAAGGAAGGUGACAGCCAGGAAUCCUAAAUCAAAGAAAGAAAUGCUGUGAACAGGAUGCAGCUUUCUGAGGUGCUUAGGAAUGGAAAGAUGCUUUUGGAAGCCAUGCUGGACUGAAGACCUAGACUGAGAUUCCCAGACUCUAAUAAAAAUAUGGCAUAGGAAAGUGCUGGCUAAAUGGUGCCUAAGCAGUCAAACACACUGUCCUGGCCAGUACUGAAAGCUGUUGCUAUUGCAACUUCUGCUGCCUCUACCACCAGUGGCUACAGUCAUAGUGAGCAAGAGGCACAUAAGAACCACUGAUCUGGAUGAUUUUGCUUCAUGUGAAAACUGAGGUAAUGUGUUCUUACAUUUCUCUAAGAAAAACAGGGGUGCACUAAGGAGCAGGAAGAAUCUGCAGAGCUGAUUGGAGCAAUGUAAGGUAUGUAGUAGAAAGAGAAUAUAACGAGUGUUAAUUGGGUAAAAAUAGAACAGGAGACCAUAACCUAAACAUGAAAUCAUAUUUCAUGUGUUGCAUUUGGUGCUUUAUUUACCCAUUCUCCUAGUAAAUACAGGAAGAUUAAAAUGCUAAGCAGAAAUACUACUAUUGAAAAAAAUCAUGGAGGACAGGUGCAUGGUACUGGGAGAGAAACAUUCAAGAUCCAGAAAUACCAAUGUAUUAAAGGUUUUAAAGGGAUAACAAAAGAUUUUUCUAUGAAUUUCUGAUUACCUUUGCUUAAUAAUGUAAAUAGAAAUAGAAAAAGUGCAUGAAGCAGCUAGCUGUGACCAUUUUAAAAUACUGCUUACCAAUCACCCAAACUGUUGAAUUACACAACUCCUACUGAAAUAAAUAGGAACUGCUGCUGCUGAGCCUUGUUAUAAAGGAGGCCACCUGAGAAAUUAUUGAAUUGCUGAUGUAUAACAAGUAAUUGUUAGGAAGUUGUAAAUUCAGAUAAUGUUUAUUGUUGAGUGGGUGGCUGAGUCUUGGACAGACUUUACCUGUUCUGCUAUAUUCUUUUUUUUUUUAGUUGAAGUAUACAUCUUCUUUUUGUAAUUACUUUCUCAAAGACUUCUGAAAAAUGAAUUCUCAAAAGCCUUAGAAUAGUCUGCUGACAUAGGUAAUCUGAAAGAAUUAUUAGUGAACAGGUUACUGGAAAGAAUAACAACUUAAGUCAUCUAGAAAUGAAUACUCACAAAACAGUAUUAUUGUAUAAACUUCCUUUUCUAAACUGCCUUGUCAGAAAACAUGGUGAGCACAUUCCCUGUGCUGUGAGCUAUAAAAGGGUAAUUCAAAUUUUAGGCCAUGUAGUACCAAAUCAGAAACACUGUGUUCUAGUAAUUCAAAGCAUUACAUCAGUCUAAACUCAAGCUGCCAGUACAAAUUUACUCUAAGGAUUUCUUCAUGAAUUUUUUGUAAAGGUACGUGCAAACUCUCUGUCUGUGGUUCUUCUAUUCUGUGCCUGACUGGACCCUUCAUAGUAA